GCAGAGUCACUCUGCACCCUGCUGCAGACUCAAGUGCUGGUGUCUUUUUCUGUCUGUGACAGAAACAUCCCCCAGGGGCUGGGACCACUUUGGCCUGUCAAAGUAAGCUGAGUUGCCUGGGGACAUGAAA
rnacentral:snoRNA from 1 species